rnacentral:lncRNA from 1 species
AAACAACCCGCAUCAAGCUCGCAGAACCAAUCACAACCGUCAGAUCAACGAGCUCCUCCAAUCCCUUCUAUCCCAUCCGUCCAAUUGAUAACUAUUUUCCGUGGAGUCCUUAUCCUCGUCCCAUCCGGAAAACAAGCCAUAGGAGCCGCGCCGCUGGAUCCACGGAAUUUAUGAGAGUACUCGGUCCAAGGAUUAGAACAACGAGACGUUAUAUUUAACAGCU